GAGGAAUAUUGGUCAAUGGGCGCAAGCCUGAACCAGCCAUCCCGCGUGCAGGAAGACGGCCCUAUGGGUUGUAAACUGCUUUUCCAGGGGGAGAAUUUUUCUGUCGUGACAGGAAUUGACGGUACCCUGGGAAUAAGCAUCGGCUAACUCCGUGCCAGCAGCCGCGGUAAUACGGAGGAUGCGAGCGUUAUCCGGAUUUAUUGGGUUUAAAGGGUGCGUAGGCGGAUAGAUAAGUCAGUGGUGAAAACCUGCAGCUUAACUGUAGACUUGCCGUUGAUACUGUCAGUCUUGAGUAUGGUCAAGGUAGGCGGAAUGUGUAAUGUAGCGGUGAAAUGCUUAGAUAUUACACAGAACACCGAUUGCGAAGGCAGCUUACUGGGCCAUUACUGACGCUGAUGCACGAAAGCGUGGGGAUCGAAC
rnacentral:rRNA from 1 species